AAAGGCUUAAUUGGUGUUUGUUGCAAAAAACUCAAGUGAAACUUGUUUAGUGACGAAAGAUCAAUCAAAUCACGAGAUAGCUUGUUUUCUGCGAAAUUCUUUUUAGAGAAGCGUUUAAAACAAAAGCGUUUUGUAAAGCUACUUUUCUACUUUUGGUGGAUUAAAACUCUUUACAAAAGUAAAAAAAACUCAGAAUAUAUUGCUUGUUCUUAUAACAGUUGGAUUAUUUGCGAAAAAGUUAAUAAUCGAAAGAGAAACAACUCGUAAAUGUCUUUUAUUGCUCUUGAGGAUACUUUAUUCUAAAGAUACUUUUCAUCGAAAAUAUUUUUCCUGUUGGCUUAGAAGUAGCUCUCUUUUUUUGAAAGUGUAAUAACUCAGUAUAUUAUUAGAUCUAAAGAUCUUAAAAUUUAGUUGA
rnacentral:rRNA from 1 species